rnacentral:rRNA from 1 species
AGUGAACGCUGGCGGUAGGCCUAACACAUGCCAGUCGAACGGCAGCACAGUAAGAGCUUGCUCUUACGGGUGGCGAGUGGCGGACGGGUGAGGAAUACAUCGGAAUCUACUUUUUCGUGGGGGAUAACGUAGGGAAACUUACGCUAAUACCGCAUACGACCUACGGGUGAAAGCAGGGGAUCUUCGGACCUUGCGCGAUUGAGUGAGCCGAUGUCGGAUUAGCUAGUUGGCGGGGUAAAGGCCCACCAAGGCGACGAUCCGUAGCUGGUCUGAGAGGAUGAUCAGCCACACUGGAACUGAGACACGGUCCAGACUCCUACGGGAGGCAGCAGUGGGGAAUAUUGGACAAUGGGCGCAAGCCUGAUCCAGCCACACCGCGUGGGUGAAGAAGGCCUUCGGGUUGUAAAGCCCUUUUGUUGGGAAAGAAAAGCAGCAGGUUAAUACCCCGCUGUUCUGACGGUACCCAAAGAAUAAGCACCGGCUAACUUCGUG